rnacentral:rRNA from 1 species
UACGUAGGGGGCAAGCGUUGUCCGGAUUCACUGGGUGUAAAGGGUGCGCAGGCGGGAGAGUAAGUCAGAGGUGAAAUCUCACAGCUUAACUGUGAAACUGCCUUUGAUACUGCUUUUCUUGAGUUCGGGAGAGGUUGAUGGAAUUCCAGGUGUAGCGGUGAAAUGCGUAGAUAUCUGGAAGAACACCAGUGGCGAAGGCGGUCAACUGGCCCGUAACUGACGCUCAGGCACGAAAGCGUGGGUAGCGAACAGG